AGAUUGAACGCUGGCGGCAUGCCUUACACAUGCAAGUCGAACGGCAGCACGGGAGCAAUCCUGGUGGCGAGUGGCGAACGGGUGAGUAAUACAUCGGAACGUGCCCAAUCGUGGGGGAUAACGCAGCGAAAGCUGUGCUAAUACCGCAUAAGAUCUACGGAUGAAAGCAGGGGAUCGCAAGACCUUGCGCGAAUGGAGCGGCCGAUGGCAGAUUAGGUAGUUGGUGAGGUAAAGGCUCACCAAGCCUUCGAUCGUGUAGCUGGUCUGAGAGGACGACCGGCCACACGUGGGACUGAGACACGGCCCAGACUCCGAGGGAGGCGCGAGUGGGGAAUUUUGGACAAGUGGGACGAAAAGCC
rnacentral:rRNA from 1 species